rnacentral:RNase_P_RNA from 1 species
AAGUCGGGGAGCUGACUGUCGGGGUCCUGGUAUUAAAUUGCCAAGAAGUGAAAAAUAUGACUUCUGGAUCUUGAGGAAGGUCCGCCCAUCACUAAAAACCACUUUUCGAAAGGAAAGUUGUCGUGAGGCAAAGCUCUGCUACAGAAACGCCACAGCCGUUUUGGAGUUAUGAUUCGUGAGAUGAACUGGGAAAAAACGGAUUUGAUGAAACGAGCAUCUUGGUUGAUGCAAGGGUAACUAAUGUAUGCCUGCUUAGUCGAAUGUCAGCAUGUUUGGUCUGAAUACAGCAAACAACAGAAGGUGGCCUACCCCGGCUU